ACGGCUCAGUAACACGUGGAUAACCUGCCCUUGGGUCCGGCAUAACCCCGGGAAACUGGGGAUAAUUCCGGAUAACGCACAUAUGCUGGAAUGCUUUAUGCGUAAAAUGGAUUCGUCUGCCCAAGGAUGGGUCUGCGGCCUAUCAGGUAGUAGUGGGUGUAAUGUACCUACUAGCCUACAACGGGUACGGGUUGUGAGAGCAAGAGCCCGGAGAUGGAUUCUGAGACAUGAAUCCAGGCCCUACGGGGCGCAGCAGGCGCGAAAACUUUACAAUGCGGGAAACCGUGAUAAGGGGACACCGAGUGCCAGCAUCAUAUGCUGGCUGUCCAGGUGUGUAAAAUACACCUGUCAGCAAGGGCCGGGCAAGACCGGUGCCAGCCGCCGCGGUAACACCGGCGGCCCGAGUGGUGAUCGUGAUUAUUGGGUCUAAAGGGUCCGUAGCCGGUUUGGUCAGUCCUCCGGGAAAUCUGACGGCUCAACCGUUAGGCUUUCGGGGGAUACUGCCAGGCUUGGAACCGGGAGAGGUAAGAGGUACUACAGGGGUAGGAGUGAAAUCUUGUAAUCCCUGUGAGACCACCUGUGGCGAAGGCGUCUUACCAGAACGGGUUCGACGGUGAGGGACGAAAGCUGGGGGCACGAACCGGAUUAGAUACCCGGGUAGUCCCAGCCGUAAACGAUGCUCGCUAGGUGUCAGGCAUGGCGCGACCGUGUCUGGUGCCGCGGGGAAGCCGUGAAGCGAGCCACCUGGGAAGUACGGCCGCAAGGCUGAAACUUAAAGGAAUUGGCGGGGGAG
rnacentral:rRNA from 1 species